rnacentral:rRNA from 1 species
AACGAACGCUGGCGGCAUGCCUAACACAUGCAAGUCGAACGAUACCUUCGGGUCUAGUGGCGCACGGGUGCGUAACGCGUGGGAACCUUCCCUUAGGUUCGGAAUAACUCCCCGAAAGGGGUGCUAAUACCGGAUAAUUUCUUCGGACCCAUGAUUUAUCGCCUUUGGAUGGGCCCGCGUUGGAUUAGCUAGUUGGUAGGGUAAAAGCCUACCAAGGCUGCGUUGCAUAGCUGGUCUGAGAGGAUGAUCAGCCACACUGGGACUGAGACACGGCCCAGACUCCUACGGGAGGCAGCAGUGGGGAAUAUUGGACACUGGGCGAAAGCCUGAUCCAGCAAUGCCGCGUGAGUGAUGAAGGCCUGAGGGUUGUAAAGCUCUUUUAACCGGGAAGAUAAUGACAGUACCGGGAGAAUAAGCUCCGGCUAACUCCGUG